GUCUAUGGCCAGAUCACCCUAAUGUGCCCGAUCUUGUCUGAUCUCGGAAGCUAAGCAGUGUCGGGCCUAGUUAGUCCUUGGAUGGGAGAAAUACAAGUGAUUUAUCACUUCAAAAAAUAUACCAGUUAAAGGCA
rnacentral:rRNA from 1 species